CUAAACACCGAGCUCCCGGGCCUAAGCGCGACGCGUAUGGCACGAGAGCCGUGGCGGGGUCGGCUUUCCCCGCCACCAGGGUCGCUCGAGAAAUCGGCCGGCCUCCCGAUCUUGGAAAGGCGUUUUUGGAA
rnacentral:ncRNA from 1 species